UAUGUGGGCGGAGAUAUGUUCGGACAUGCUUCCACUUGAACAUAGUUUACAGGAAAUGACUCGGAAUACAGGAAAACACUCUCAUACCUCAUUAUCCAAGUCAUUGAAGAAGAUUGAAGAUUCAACUUAUUGUCGUUACGUAGUACAGGAACUAUGUAACAAAACGGUUUCUCUGCAUUUGACCCAUCCUAGUGUUAGGAGCAGUGUGCUGCCAUUAUGUACGGCGCCCGCGAGCAGUGUAGGGAACGGUGCCUUGCUCAGGGACACACUUGGUCUUUCCGGGACUUGAACUGGUUCCAGUGGCCAAGCAAAGUCCCUAUAUGGACUUUGCCACCACCUUCCUUAUGGAGGAUAAGAAGUCAAAAAAAGCCGAUUUGAAGAUAUAUAUAGAACUAUAAUGGAAACAUACUCAAAGUAAGAACAACAGUAACAUGAAAUUAACACUUAAAACUUCACCCACCAUGCUGCACUGCGUUAUAUAUCAAAUGCACCGUAUAGGACUCAUCAUUGCACACUGUAGACUAACUGGAUGGUCCUCACUUAGGAUGCAGCAUUGGUUUUUAUUAAUGUAUAAAGCCAUUUUAGGAAAGCUUCCACUCUACAUAGGCCUAUGUGCCAGAUCUGCUCCAGUUUGUGACUCUUACAACCUCAGACCCAGAGCCUGGAUACGGGUCCAGGUUCGUGCCGUGCGGACUGAGGCUGGGAAAAGGAAUGACCUUCAGUUACGCCUCAAACUGAGCGCACUUGUCCCUACAGCCGGUUUUAAAUUGAAGUUAUCUGAGAUCCUUACCACCAGCUGCUCUUGCAGUAAUAAGUAGUGUACCUUUCUUACUGUCCUAAUGUGCUCAAUAGUGACUGCUUUUCGUCUUUUGUUUACUUAGUUGUGUUCUCUGUAUUGUAUAUGUUUGUGUUAUGUGUUAACUUAUGUGUAACGUUGCUGCCUUCUUGGCCAGCAUUGAAAAUUAGAUUUUAUUUCAAUGCUUUUUCAUCUGGUUAAAUAAAGGUUAAAAAAAAAAGCACAAGUACUCAGAGUGCAGAAUUGUAUAUAUCAUAUUGUUAAUGCAUUAUAUUAAUAUGUCUAUCGGUGUAAGGAGCCCUUUCUGCUCAUUUUCUGGAUGAUUACAACUUUAAAGGCUUCUUUACAAAACAUACAAGCUGCUUUAUAGAAAUCCUGAUAAAUACAUGCACUGUAUUACCAGCAGAGGUCACUCCUGUUCUUUCUGUUGCAGUCCUCUUCACUUUACCUCUCUACACAUUUUGUAUUGUCUUUUUCCUGCUCCAAAAUUCACCGUGAAGAAGAUGUUUUUCCAUUUGACUUACAUUAGGAAGGAGACGUCUGUAAACCAGCGGAUAAUCUUUUUUUAGCUAAACAAACUACACAGCACGAACUCUUUUAUAGCCCUUAUUUUAAUCAUUAGGGUGUUAAAGUUGUAAAAUGCACUAAAAGCUGAAUCCAGAGUUUAGAAUUUCUAUCUCCAUUCAACUGACUGACAGAGCAGGAGAUAGGAGGCGGGGCUUAAGGGGGAACUUAACUGCGCAUGCGUUGUGGGGCCAUGUACGGGUACAUACUUUUGCAUUAGCUAAUUAAUGCUACUUCGAAGUGCAGCUACCUGAAGCUACUAAGUUGGGAUAUCUUAGAAAUUAGUUAAUAUUCUUUUUAUUUUUGUUUUAUAUCAAUUCAUCAAGUGUUGUAAAACUAUUCUCGCCACAGACGGACGUUAAUUCGGAUAUUUUUAUCCCACUCUAAACUUUGACUCGACAGAAAAACGAGCCUCCACCUGCUCCUCUUCACACCCCUUCCCUCUCUGAACAUCACAUGUUAACUAAAACCCCCUCUGUUUCUCCCGGAGCUCCGCGGCUGAUCGGCGGCUCUUCCUCCUCUCGUCAGUCCGCUGAAGGGCACCUCAGGGCGGGGAAGGAGCGUCACAGGGGUCGGUGUUUGUGGAGCGGAUCUCCGGAGCUCUCCCUCAUGCUGCAGCCAUACAUGCACGGACAUACACACCUCCUUGAUGUUGAUGCGUACUAACAGCACAGAGAGCAGAAGCUGCAGGAGCAGAUUUAUUUCAGUGUGAGCUGCAGAAAGGACGGGAGCAUGAACCACAGAAGAGGAGGAUUCUUCACCAUGUUUCUGUUCUUGGGUCUCAUAUGGACACAGCUGCUGAUCACAGAAUCGUCCUCUGGAGAUCACGAGCUGCGUCUCUUCCCGUCUCGUCGCUCCAGUCUCCUCCAUCAGGAAGUGGAAAACCUCCCAGAACCCAAACACCUCCACCACCUUCACCUUCAUCAUCUUCAUCAUCACCUUCAUCCUCAGCCUCCUGCCGGGUUUUUAUCCAAAGCGAUGCCGCCCGCUCUGCUGGACUCUCCGUUUCCUCCGGAGCACAAAGUGGUGACCGCACGACAUCUGGUGACCGUGGUGAGUAACAUUAGCUAAA